rnacentral:misc_RNA from 1 species
GAUGAAGAACGCAGCGAAAUGCGAUAAGUAGUGUGAAUUGCAGAAUUCAGUGAAUCAUCGAAUCUUUGAACGCACAUUGCGCCCCUUGGUAUUCCAUGGGGCAUGCCUGUUCGAGCGUCAUUUGUACCUUCAAGCUUUGCUUGGUGUUGGGUGUUUGUCUCGCCUUUGCGUGUAGACUCGCCUUAAAAUAAUUGGCAGCCGGCGUAUUGAUUUCGGAGCGCAGUACAUCUCGCGCUUUGCACUCAUAGCGACAGCGUCCAAAAGUACAUUUUACACUCUUGACCUCGGAUCAGGUAGGGAUACCCGCUGAACUUAAGCAUAUCAAUAAGCGGAGGA